rnacentral:rRNA from 1 species
CAUUAAAUUAAAAUUUUUUUUUUAUUUAAGUAGUGUGAAUAUUAUUUAAUGUAGUAUGUUUAAUAUUUGAAACUUAAAAAGCUUNGCGUGUUAUAUAUCCAUUUAGGGGAGCUUGUUUAUUGAUUUGAUAAUCCUCAAUUUACACUUACUUUUUCUUGAGUAACAGUUUGUAUAUUGCUGUCGUCAGUUUAUUUCGUAAGGUAUAAAGAACUCAAAAAUAGAAAUAUUUAUAAGUCAAGUCAAAAUGCAGCUAAUGAAAAAGGUUAAAAUGAGCUACAAUUUAUUAUUUUAAUUGGAUUAAAUAAUGUGAAAAUUUAUGAAUUUGGACUUAAUAGUAAUGUAAAUUAUUAGUAUGUUUACAUGAAUAUGGUUUUAUAAUGCGU